UGGGGAAUAUUGCACAAUGGGGGAAACCCUGAUGCAGCAACGCCGCGUGAGUGAUGACGGCCUUCGGGUUGUAAGGCUCUGUCUUCAGGGACGAUAAUGACGGUACCUGAGGAGGAAGCCACGGCUAACUACGUGCCAGCAGCCGCGGUAAUACGUAGGUGGCAAGCGUUGUCCGGAUUUACUGGGCGUAAAGGGAGCGUAGGCGGACUUUUAAGUGAGAUGUGAAAUACCCGGGCUCAACCUGGGUGCUGCAUUUCAAACUGGAAGUCUAGAGUGCAGGAGAGGAGAGUGGAAUUCCUAGUGUAGCGGUGAAAUGCGUAGAGAUUAGGAAGAACACCAGUGGCGAAGGCGACUCUCUGGACUGUAACUGACGCUGAGGCUCGAAAGCGUGGGGAGCAAACA
rnacentral:rRNA from 1 species